GGCUGGAGUGCAGUGGCGCGAUCUUGGCUCACUGCAAGCUCUGACUUUCGGGUUCACGCCAUUCUCCUGCCUCAGCCUCCCGAGUAGCUGGGACUACAGGUGCCUGCCAGCACGCCCGGCUAAUUUUUUAUAUUUUUAGUAGAGACGGGGUUUCACCGUGUUAACCAGGAUGGUCUCAAUCUCCUGACCUCGUGAUCCGCCCGCCUCGGCCUCCCAAAGUGCUGGGAUUACAGGCCUGAGCGACCGCGCCCGGCCCUAUAUGUAGUUUUUUGAGAACCCUUCAUACUGCUUUCUAUAAUGGCUAUACUAAUUUACGUUCCCAUAAACAGUGUUCUUGACUGUUCUAUUUCUACCAUGUUGUUACAUCAGCAUUGGCUCUUGUCGUUGGUUUGUUUCCUUAGAAUUGCCAGGUAGAAACUGGAAAUUCUAAUUGACUCAAUUGUUUUUAUUUCAGUCAUAUAAUCUUCUGGCCAAGUCUUACAGCAAAGAAUUUUACAUUAAAAAGAAGGAAGAGAAAGCAAGCAAGCAAGCAAGAAGGGUGGUAAUGAGAAGCUGAGAGCAGUGUGCCAACUCGCAAUGCCAUCUUCGCUGACAUGUAAAAAUAGUUGUGUUUUAACAAGUGUGCUUUGCUUAAAUGAAAUAGGGUAGAAACUGGAACCACUGUCUUGAAUCAAAAGAUGGAAGAAGCUUCUCUUGAAGAUUAAAGGGACACAAGACAGAAGUUGUCUGUGUCCCUGAGGGCUUAGCAGAGGAGACUUGACCUACUUUCUUGGGCUUGUUGUGACAUCUAUUUUGUUUAAGUGGGAGAGACAAAGACAAGAUAACAAGCAAAUUAAUAAUUGCAUCUUUGGUAACUUUUCUGAAGAAAAUAAACAUUAGACUCGGUCAGAGAAUAAUGGUGAAAAGGUUGCCCUGGAAAAAGUGAUAAGGAACAGCCUUUUUGGGAUGGUGAAUAUGAAGAGUAUGAAUUACAAUGUUCCUGAAAAGCCACUUUCCUGAGAAGAACUGCAACAGAUUUUCAUGAUAUCAAGAAGGCUUUAUGUUCCUGUAAGAAAGUUUGGCUGUAAGUUCCUAUCAAGAUUCUACAAGAUUGUGUGACUGCAAAAAUACCCUUUGAAGUAGUUGGUCCAGAAACACUGAAGGUUUGUAUAGAAGAGACAGACCUUCCACCCUGUCUCUUCUAUCACACAGCAAUGACUGAUAAACUGGAAAAUUUAAAGAAGACAUAAAGGCUAAAUUCCAUGACAAAUCAUGUCAGUGGACUAGUCUAAAUGGAAGUGCAAAACAGUAAGUGUGCACUGAAGUGCAAAACCAACUGAGUUCUACAUGACCGAAUAUAAGCAUAGAUCGCCAGGAAUUCAGCUCCUACAAAGAAAAUUGGAACCAAUGUGUAUUGACCCUUGCCAAAAAGUAGAGACUGUUUUGGCUAUGAAAAUAGUCCUGGUCACAGCUCCCACCAAAAAAUGAAAACUUAAAAAUAAUGAUAAUUUUAAAAGCUGGGAUGUAUUUUUUAGGGCCGAGGAAAGUUUCGCACUGAGUUACUUGAGAUAAUGGGAGAAAACUAAGACAACUGUGCAGCCACCACAGGUAACUCAGGAACUGGAUAGUAUGCCCAGUUAGGAUUAGAGACUUGAGAUGUCUUAUGUAGCAAUAAACUGAGGCUAUCAGUGGCAUGCAAAGUAAACCCAAAGAAAGCAGAAAGGAAAUAAAAAGUACUAAAGGUAAAAUCAGUAAUUUUAAAAAGAAUAUAUAACCCAAUAGAAUCAAAGUUUAGUUCUCCAAA
rnacentral:lncRNA from 1 species